rnacentral:rRNA from 1 species
AUUGAACGCUGGCGGCAUGCCUUACACAUGCAAGUCGAACGGCAGCACGGGAGCAAUCCUGGUGGCGAGUGGCGAACGGGUGAGUAAUGCAUCGGAACGCGCCCGAUCGUGGGGGAUAACGCAGCGAAAGCUGCGCUAAUACCGCAUACGAUCUGAGGAUGAAAGCGGGGGACCGUAAGGCCUCGCGCGAUCGGAGCGGCCGAUGUCAGAUUAGGUAGUUGGUGGGGUAAAGGCUCACCAAGCCAACGAUCUGUAGCUGGUCUGAGAGGACGACCAGCCACACUGGGACUGAGACACGGCCCAGACUCCUACGGGAGGCAGCAGUGGGGAAUUUUGGACAAUGGGCGAAAGCCUGAUCCAGCAAUGCCGCGUGCAGGAAGAAGGCCUUCGGGUUGUAAACUGCUUUUGUACGGAGCGAAAAGGCUCUCUCUAAUACAGGGGGCUCAUGACGGUACCGUAAGAAUAAGCACCGGCUAACUACGUGCCAGCCGCCGCUGUAA